GACGAAGGGGGCAAGCGUUGUUCGGAAUUACUGGGCGUAAAGGGCGCGUAGGCGGCCAUUCAAGUCAGCCGUGAAAGGCCUGGGCUCAACCUGGGAAUUGCGGUUGGGACUGAGUGGCUAGAGAGCGGGAGAGGAUGGUGGAAUUCCCAGUGUAGAGGUGAAAUUCGUAGAUAUUGGGAAGAACACCGGUGGCGAAGGCGACCCGCUGGGUCACACCUGACACUGAGACGCGACAGCAUGGGGAGCGAACGGG
rnacentral:rRNA from 1 species